CCUUCGGGUUCGAGUGGCAGUCGGUUGAGUAACGCGUGUGUGACGUACCCGUUGGUGGGGAAUAACUACCCGAAAGGGUGUCUAAUUCCGCAUACGUCCGCUGUUUCGUGAUGGUGGAGAAAGUCGCAAGACGCCGAUGGAGUGGCCCGCGUUAGAUUAGCUGGUUGGUGGGGUAACGGCCUACCAAGGCGACGAUGGAUAGCUGGUCUCAGAGGAUGCUCAGCCAGACUGGGACUGAGACACGGCCCAGUCUCCUACGGGACGCAGCAGUUAGGAAUUCUGGGCAAUGGGCGCAAGCCUGACCCAGCAACGCCGCGUGGGUGAGGAAGGCGUUCGGG
rnacentral:rRNA from 1 species